rnacentral:rRNA from 1 species
CGAAAGCGUAGCUAAUACCGCAUACGCCCUACGGGGGAAAGCAGGGGAUCGCAAGACCUUGCACUAUUGGAGCGGCCGAUAUCGGAUUAGCUAGUUGGUGGGGUAACGGCUCACCAAGGCGACGAUCCGUAGCUGGUUUGAGAGGACGACCAGCCACACUGGGACUGAGACACGGCCCAGACUCCUACGGGAGGCAGCAGUGGGGAAUUAUGGACAAUGGGGGAAACCCUGAUCCAGCCAUCCCGCGUGUGCGAUGAAGGCCUUCGGGUUGUAAAGCACUUUUGGCAGGAGAGAAACGUCGCGGGUUAAUACCUCGCGAAACUGACGGUACCUGCAGAAUAAGCACCGGCUAACUACGUGCCAGCAGCCGCGGUAAUACGUAGGGUGCAAGCGUUAAUCGGAAUUAAUGGGCGUAAAGCGUGCGCAGGCGGUUCGGAAAGCAAGAUGUGAUAUCCCAGAGCUUAACUUUGGAACUGCAUUUUUAACUACCGGGCUAGAGUGUGUCAGAGGGAGGUGGUAUUCCGCGUGUAGCAGUGAAAUGCGUAGAUAUGCGGAGGAACACCGAUGGCGAAGGCAGCCUCCUGGGAUAACACUGACGCUCAUGCACGAAAGCGUGGGGAGCAAACAGGAUUAG